AGGUGGGAGGAUUGCUUGAGCCCAGAAGGUCGAGGAUGCAGUGAGCUGUGAUCGUGCCAAUGCACUCCAGCCUGAGUGACAGAGCAAGACCGUGACUC
rnacentral:miRNA from 1 species